rnacentral:rRNA from 1 species
UGGCCGUAAACGAUGUGGACUUGGUGUACUGGUGACCACGAGUCACCGGGGUGCCGAAGGGAAACCGUGAAACGUGCCGCCUGGGAAGUACGGUCGCAAGGCUGAAACUUAAAGGAAUUGGCGGGGGAGGCACCACAACGGGUGGAGCCUGCGGUUUAAUUGGACUCAACGCCGGAAUCUCACCGGAUAGGACAGACAUAUGAUAGUCGGGCUGAAGACUCUACUUGAUGAUCUGAGAGGAGGUGCAUGGCGUCAGUGACU